rnacentral:lncRNA from 1 species
GCCCAGCCUGUGAGGAAGAUGUGGCUGCAAGACUUCAGAUGGCAUUGUUUGUUGGACAACAAGAUGGGGGUGAAGUGCACACCUGCAGAGGCCCAGAAAGCACUGUCCACUGAAUGUCAAGAUUUGCUUUCACCAUGGCUGCAGAAAGGAACCAUCUGAGUGAUUGAUCACAGAAGCAAAAGUUCCCUCCUAAGAAAACAGGCAGAGAUGCCCUACACCCUUCCUGAUCCUCAGGGUUGACCUGAUAUCCUGAUAUCCUUGCUGGGCAGUUUAUAGUUUAGAAGAGGGUUGGCAAACUUGUUCUGUAAAGGGAAGAUAUUAACUGUGUCAGGCUUUGCAAGGAUUUUUGCCUCGGUUGCAAUUGGUCAACCCUGCUAUUGUGGCUUGAAACCUAGGCAAAAUAUAAGCAAAUGGAUGUUGCUGUGUUCCAAUAAAACUUUAUUUAUGGAACACUGAACUUGGAAUCUCCUGUAAUAUUUACAUCGCAUGUAAUAUUAAUCAUUUG